AUAAAGUUGCCAAGUUCCAGCUGGAGUUCAGGUCUACAGAAUCGAAUCUUCAGAUUGCCAGAAAUUCUCACUCAUUCGGGUGUCUUUUCUCAUUUUCGCCGUUAAAAAGGGUAUUCGUUCAAUUCCCUUUCGCUAAGAAGACGCAGUGUGCCAUUUAUUUGCAAAAUUGGUGCAGAAAAUGAAGAUUGAUCGGUUACUGCGCUUAAAAUCGCCGUUUUACUGCCAAAAUUUUGCAUUUCCCUAUCUUUUUCCUGAUAAAAAAUGUGCAUGACACUUGCCAGAGGGUCGCGCAUGCGCAUUAAAAAAGUGGGGACAUGAUUUGCCUCGAGUUCCGCCUCUGUAUAUCCUUACUCUGUGUCCUAGUCUGGAUCAAAAUUUUGGUCAUUAGGGGAGGGCCAAACUUCCUUUUUCCAAAACCUUUUUCCUUUGAAAUUUCUUGAGAUGUGGAAACACAUGUGCACACUGAAACUGAAAGCUUCUGAAAGCGUACGUAAACCAUAUCAUCAGUGGUCCUUAUUUUGUCCAUAUUUGUUCAUUCAACUGUAAAAUUUCAGUUUUUACAGUAGAUACAUACAAAUCCUGUCGAUAAAAUUCCAGAUCUGAGGGUCUUUAGCACCAGUAGAAAACUGUGGAAUGCUAUUUGAUGUCUCCAUAAAAGUAUAAGGUAGGACUAUGUGGAAAUGUAGCCGAUAUAAACUUUUUAAAAUUUAUUAUUAUUAAAAAUUUAUUAUAUUUGGCUGAUGGAAGAGUCGAGAAGAGUAG